UGGGGAAUAUUGGACAAUGGGCGCAAGCCUGAUCCAGCCAUGCCGCGUGAACGAUGAAGGCCUUAGGGUUGUAAAGUUCUUUUGUCAGGGAAGAUAAUGACGGUACCUGAAGAAUAAGCACCGGCUAACUUCGUGCCAGCAGCCGCGGUAAUACGAAGGGUGCUAGCGUUGUUCGGAAUCACUGGGCGUAAAGCGCGCGUAGGCGGCUUAACAAGUCAGAGGUGAAAGCCUGGAGCUCAACUCCAGAACUGCCUUUGAAACUGUUAAGCUUGAGUGUCGGAGGGGAUAGCGGAAUUUCUAAUGUAGAGGUGAAAUUCGUAGAUAUUAGAAGGAACACCGGUGGCGAAGGCGGCUAUCUGGACGACAACUGACGCUGAGGCACGAAAGCGUGGGGAGCAAACAGGAUUAGAUACCCUGGUAGUCCCUGAGCGGGCUGGCAAGGCGCAU
rnacentral:rRNA from 1 species